rnacentral:rRNA from 1 species
GCGUAGGGUACGUAGGCGGAUAUUUAAAAAUACAGUAAAAGACUGAGGUAAACCCUCUUUAACCUGUAUUCACUGAUUAUUUGAGUUUUGAGGGCGGUUUAUUGAAUUCUUGAAGUAAGGGUGAAAUUGUUGAUAUUGGAAGACAUUCGAAAGCGAAAGCAAAAACCGAUUCAAAUCUGACGCUAGGUACUAAAGUAUGGGUAUAAAUAGGAUUAGAGACCUAGUAGUCCAUACCUUAAACAAUGAGUGUUCAACAUCUUUUAGCGUUUUGCACAAAAACAAAGUCAAAAUGUUAUCUGGGGUUUACAGCUAACGCGUGAAACACCGCCUGGGGAAUGUGGCCGCAAGGUUAAACUCAAAGGAAUUGACGGUGACUUAUACAAGG